GCGCCCGUAGCUCAGGGGAUAGAGUACCGCCCUCCGAAGGCGGGGGUCACAGGUUCAAAUCCUGUCGGGCGUACCA
rnacentral:tRNA from 2 species